AACGAACGCUGGCGGCAGGCUUAACACAUGCAAGUCGAACGCCCGUAGCAAUACGGGAGUGGCGGACGGGUGAGUAACGCGUGGGAACGUACCCUGAGGUACGGAAUAACCGAGGGAAACUUCGGCUAAUACCGUAUGAGCCCCGCAAGGGGGGAAAGAUUUAUCGCCUUGGGAGCGGCCCGCGUCGGAUUAGCUAGUUGGUGGGGUAACGGCCUACCAAGGCUUCGAUCCGUAGCUGGUCUGAGAGGACGAUCAGCCACACUGGGACUGAGACACGGCCCAGACUCCUACGGGAGGCAGCAGUGGGGAAUCUUGCGCAAUGGGGGCAACCCUGACGCAGCCAUGCCGCGUGAACGAUGAAGGCCUUAGGGUUGUAAAGUUCUUUUAGCCGGAAAGAAAUCGCGCAGGAUAAUACUCUGCGUGGAUGACGGUACCGGCAGAAGAAGCACCGGCUAACUACGUGCCAGCAGCCGCGGUAAUGUACAGUGU
rnacentral:rRNA from 1 species